AAUAGAUGACGCCAUUGACUUUUUCUCACAUGUUUGACCAUUCGUCUUAUUUAAAAAAUUUACGUAAUUAUAAUUUAUUUUGUUAUGAGUUGUUUUAUCACUCAUAAUACUUUGUGUGAUUUAUAUCUUAUACAUUUGCUUAAAAUUUUUGAAUAAGACGAAUGGUCAAACCUGUGAGAAAAAGUCGACGAUGUCAUCUAUU
rnacentral:pre_miRNA from 1 species